rnacentral:rRNA from 1 species
CAAGUCGAACGCGAAAGUUCCCUUCGGGGAGCGAGUAGAGUGGCGCACGGGUGAGUAACACGUAGGUAAUCUACCUUUGGAUUGGGAAUAACCACCGGAAACGGUGGCUAAUACCGAAUAAUGCAGCGGCACCUAAUGGUGACAGUUGUUAAAGCGGGGGAUCGCAAGACCUCGCGUCUGAAGAGGAGCCUGCGGCAGAUUAGCUAGUUGGUAAGGUAACGGCUUACCAAGGCAAUGAUCUGUAGCCGGCCUGAGAGGGCGGUCGGCCACACUGACACUGACAUACGGGUCAGACUCCUACGGGAGGCAGCAGUCGGGAAUUUUGGGCAAUGGGCGAAAGCCUGACCCAGCAACGCCGCGUGAAGGAUGAAAUCCUUCGGGAUGUAAACUUCGCAAGAACGGGAAGAAUAAGUAAGAGCUAACAUCUCUUAUGAUGACGGUACUGUUUGUAAGCUCCGGCUAACUCCGUGCCAGCAGCCGCGGUAAUACGGGGGGAGCAAGCGUUGUUCGGAUUUACUGGGCGUAAAGGGCGCGUAGGCGGCCACCGCAAGUCAGUUGUGAAAUCUCUGGGCUUAACCCAGAACGGUCAGCUGAUACUGCGGGGCUAGAGUGCAGAAGGGGCAACUGGAAUUCUCGGUGUAGCGGUGAAAUGCGUAGAUAUCGAGAGGAACACCUGCGGCGAAGGCGGGUUGCUGGGCUGACACUGACGCUGACAGCGCGAAAGCUAGGGGAGCGAACGGGAUUAGAUACCCCGGUAGUCCUAGCCUUAAACGAUGAAUGCUUGGUGUCUGGGGUUUUAUAG